rnacentral:lncRNA from 1 species
UUUCAUGUGCUUGUUGGCCAUGACUAUCUAAUUUUUUCAUGAAACUGUUUUAAUAGGUAUCAAAAAAAAAAAAAAAAAGAGGUUGGCUGUGAGCCUAAGCCACUGUGAAGAUCUUGUCCAAAGUACCCCACUGUUCUCCAGUGUUCUCCAGUGGAUCAUGCUAUGACCCCAAGGCUUCAGGGAAGCAAGAAGAUAAAAAACUUGCCUUCCAGAUGCCUCUGCUGUCAGGAGCAGCCAUGUGACAUAAUUUUGGCCAUUAAGAAUGUAAGCUCUAUGUGGACAAGGGUUUUUUGUUUGUUUGCUUUUCUAUUUUGUUCUCUGCUGGUCAAAACUCAUUACAUUGUACACUCUAAACAUCUCUGGUCUAUUGUACGUUAAUUUAAAACCCAAUAAUGUACAAAAUUAAGGAGCGAUUGUUAAGAAAAUCCAAAGGCAAAUUACAAGUUGGAAGGAAACGUUUCUUGGCCCUGAAGGAAGUUGAGGCGAGGAUUCUAAGGCACUGAGACCCCGUGCUUAAAUUUCAGAUAAAUUGCAGAGCUAGCUGAAAUUUAUCCAGCUGACACUAGAUGUCACCAUUGUGCUAUGUAAGUGUAGCUGCUUCUCAGAGUGCUAUUUGAUAUUCAGGACAGAGUCAGGC